GGCUCAACCAUUGAACUGCGUGUGAAACUGGGAGCCUAUAGUUCAGAAGGGGCAGAUGGAAUUAGUGGUGUAGGGGUAAAAUCCGKAGAUAUCACUAGGAAUAUCAAAAGCGAAGGCGAUCUGCUGCGAUGAUACUGACSCUGARGCACSAAAGCWUGGGGAGCAAACAGGAUUAGAUACCCUGGUAGUCCACGCCCUAAACGAUGAAUGCUAGKSGYCRGGGAGCUCGUCUCUUCGGUGAUGCACUUAACAGAUUAAGCAUUCCGCCUGSGGAGUACGGUCGCAAGAUUAAAACUCAAAGGAAUAGACGGGGACCCGCACAAGUGGUGGAGCAUGUGGUUUAAUUCGMAGAUACACGAAGAACCUUACCUGGCCUUGACAUGGUAGGAACCCUUAAGAGAUUAGGGGGUGCUAGCUUGCUAGAACCUACACWCAGGUGCUGCACGGCUGUCGUCAGCUCGUGUCGUGAGAUGUUGGGUUAAGUCCCGCAACGAGCGCAACCCUCGUCAUUAGUUGCUAACAGUUCGGCUGAGCACUCUAAUGAGACUGCCUCCGUAAGGAGGAGGAAGGUGAGGACGACGUCAAGUCAUCAUGGCCCUUACGGCCAGGGCUACRCACGUGCUACAAUGGGGCGUACAGAGGGCUGCAAUACCGCGRGGUGGAGCCAAUCCCUUAAAGCSUCUCUCAAUUCGGAUUGUUUUCUGCAACUCGAGAACAUGAAGCUGGAAUCACUAGUAAUCGUAGAUCAGCUAUGCUACGGUGAAUACGUUCCCGGGUCUUGUACUCACCGCCCGUCACACCAUGGGAGUUGAUUUCACCCGAAAUCGGGAUGCCAAACUGGCUACCGCUUACGGUGGAAUUAGCGACUGGGGUGAAGUCGUAACAAGGUAACCGUAGGAGAACCUGCGGUUGGAUCACCUCCUUU
rnacentral:rRNA from 1 species